rnacentral:lncRNA from 1 species
GGGGCGGUCGUGCACAGGAUUCGAGGGGACAACUUCGGCUGUGCCAACCUCUCUGUACUUCCUUCAUUCGAAAUUCAAACUCGAAAGUAGGGGGACUGGUGUUGGGUAUAAAAUACCCUCAGCCGAAGUUCUCAGCGGGAUUGACCCUUGCAGGUCCCCUCCGACUUUCGACUACUGGUGGACUCCGCCCAGAUUUCUACGGGAGCCGGGCUCCAUCCUCGACACUAACAGCUGCAGACAGACUUCGCCCGGACUCCUACGGGAGCCGGACUCCGCCCACGACUUCCACUGCAAGUGGACUCCGCCCGGACUCCUACGGGAGCCGGGCUCCGUCCCCAACUUUAACUGCUGGUAAGCUCCGUCCGGACUCCUACGGGAGUCGGACUUCGCCCCUGAUUUUAAUUGCAGGAAGACUCCGUCCGAAUUCCUACGGGAGCCGGGCUCCGUCCUCGACUCCAACGGCUGCAGAC